rnacentral:rRNA from 1 species
UACGUAGGUGGCAAGCGUUGUCGGGAAUUAUUGGGCGUAAAGCGCGCGCAGGUGGUUUCUUAAGUCUGAUGUGAAAGCCCACGGCUCAACCGUGGAGGGUCAUUGGAAACUGGGGAACUUGAGUGCAGGAGAGAAGAGUGGAAUUCCACGUGUAGCGGUGAAAUGCGUAGAGAUGUGGAGGAACACCAGUGGCGAAGGCGACUCUUUGGCCUGUAACUGACACUGAGGCGCGAAAGCGUGGGGAGCAAACAGG